CCUCUAUCCAGGUCCAACCUCGUCCGGGAAAUGGAGAACAUGAGAACGAGGGGAAGAACCUCGCAAGGCACUGACCGCGUCUGCGUUCCCUGCCAUGUCCCUUGAGCCACUAGAGAGGGGGAAAAAAGAAACACAAAAUUCGACCUUGAAGAUUUUGACAAUGCCAAAGAAAUUAGUUUUUAUUUUUUUUAGAAGAAACAUCUAUUCUUUAUAGACAAGCAUGCCUUAAAAAGACAUGAAUGUAAAAUAACCAUUCCAAAUGAUGCAUCAUUAGAAAGCAUCAGAAACAAAUCUAGCACAUAUGGAACUAGCAGGUGCCUUCCCCAGCAGCCUGGCACUUCAGGAAUGAGAGAAGAAAGUCAAUCUUUUGUGCAUCAAUGACAAAGCAGCGGAGCGUGUUAUAAACAGUGAACAGGUGUGUUUCCUCUUUAGA
rnacentral:lncRNA from 1 species